rnacentral:lncRNA from 1 species
CGUCAAGGUGCACAGUCAUGUGUGGAGUGUCAGGGAGGCAGACUGUGUAACCAGACAGGCUUGUCCCACCCACCACUGUGUCCCAGAGGACACUUCUGUCCUCCGGGGUCUUCUGUUGCUCGACCCUGUCCUCCAGUCAGUAUUUGUGUGUUAUUGUGUGUGUGUGUGUACUUUUGCACUAAAGCGUCAUGAAUUGGAUUUAACUCUCAUUCAAAUUCACAUAUUGUAAAAUGAUACCAUCUCAUUAUUCAGGGCUAUUACUCUGACCAGCCUGGCAGUGACGCUGUGCAGCACUGUCGGCCAUGCGAGGCUGGUUGGUUCUGCAGCCGAGCCGGUCUGUCUGACCCUCAGGGUCUCUGUGACCCGGGACACUACUGCACCUCUGGAGCCUCCACUGCCACUCCGGUGGCCGUGGCCUCUGGAGGUGUAUGUUCUGCAGGCUACAUCUGUCCACGAGGGACCAUGUACCCCCAGCAGCACCCCUGCCCUGUAGGAACCUGGAGCAACACUGUGGGAGGCCAAAACCUGUCCUCCUGCUGGCCUUGCCCUCCAGGACUCUACUGCAACAAUACUGGACUCAGCCAGCCCUCAGGAAUCUGUGAUACAGGGUAUUACUGUUCAGGAGGGGCAGUGUCUUCAAUUCCCUCAGACGGACUGACGGGGGACAUUUGUCCAAUUGGAUACUACUGUCCCAUGGGCUCAACUUCUCCUGUGCUCUGCCCUGAUGGGACGUACUCAAACUUUACAGGUAUAGAAAAUACAUUUCAUGAAACUGAAUGACAUAGUAAGUAUCACGAUUUAAAACAUAAAAGGCAGACAUUACUUUACUACUUUUGCUGUUUUGGAUGAAGGGGCAGAAGAGUGUGGUGACUGCCUCUCAGGGACCUACUGUCUCUCAGGAGAAGGUGUCCAGGCCUGCCCAGCCGGACACUACUGUUUAGGUGGCGGUGUUGAGGGUAUCCUGCCCUGCCCUCCUGGCACAUACAGCCCUCAGUUUGGCCUCAGCCAAGUGGAGCAGUGCCUCGUUUGUCCAGCAGGGUUCUACUGUGAGGACUGGGGUCUCUUUGAACCUACUGGACCCUGUCAGACUGGUUACUACUGCAUAGCAGGCGUGAACUUUCAGAACCCAGAUGGUAACUUCAGCACAGGAGUGGGAGGAGCCUGUCCAAAGGGGAAGUACUGUCCUGAAGGCACCAGUCUCCCACUGCCCUGCCCACCAGGAACCUACUCUGACAGUCUUCAUCUGACAGACAACCUUGGCUGUAGUCCAUGUCCAGCGGGUCACUUAUGUGGCACUGCAGGUCUCACUCGUCCAUCUGGAUUGUGUCAAGCAGGAUUUUACUGUCCAGGGGGAGAUACAUCAGCUACAGGCUCAGAAGGAGGUCUUUGCCCACCAGGUCAUUACUGCCCUGAGGGUAGUGCUAGCUCUGUGCCAUGCCCAGCUGGAGCCUACACCAUCCUUACGGGCCAGUCAGUAUGUUACCGCUGCCCUGCUGGCUACUACUGUCCAGAGAAGACUGCCAACUUCACCGAGUUCCCCUGUCCCCCUGGCUUCUAUUGUCCUGAUGGUACAAGGCAUGCCACUCAGUUCCCCUGUCCUCGUGGAUACUACAACCCAGAGCCCAUGACUCAGAGUCUGGACAGCUGCCUGCCUUGUCCUCCAGGACACUACUGUGAGAAGGAGAGGCUGACCAAAGUGUCUGGAAAAUGCAAGUCUGGUUGGUUCUGUGUGUCAGCAGCAUGGAACUCACAGCCUUUUGACCUGGACAAUUACACAAAUGCCAACUGUCUUUGUCCAGCUACAUCCACAGGGGGGCGCUGCCAGGUGGGCUUUUACUGCCCCUUGGGUAGCUCAGAGCCUGUGCCUUGUCCACCUGGAGCCUUCUGUAACAUCUCAGGUAUUUGGACACUGAUAAUCAAAAAGCAACUCUUGC